CAGAGCGGUUGGCGCCACUUUCAAAUCCUCCACUGACACAGAAUGAGAGUCCGGCUUCAAAUACAUUUACACAUCACUUAUUUUCUCUUCUUCAUAAUUACUGUAAGGCGAGGAAUAUCUUAACACCAUUUCGCUUUUGGACAGUUUGGACAGUUUUUUAUUCGGAAGCACCACUUAUGACACAUGAUAGGCUGAGCUGCAGAUUCAGGAUGGAAAACCCGUCAAGUGAAGAAACAGGCUGUGUGUAGGGAUGCUGUGCCUCUAAACUGGACCAAUAAACAGUCCUUUGUAAUACUCCACACUAACAGUGUGUCAGUGAGCCUCUGCAGUGUGUGCAGUGCGAGCCAGUCAGUGUGAUGGACUCCUGCGCUCCGUGUCCAGGGUGCGCUCUAGCAGCACAUCAUGUUUUGCAGAUAUGAGCUGAAUCACUCCAAGUCAUGAUGUGCUGCCACCGCGAGUCCCGGGAUUCCCACCAACACGGCGGACAGCGAACAGCUCCCACGUCUGACUGCACUGACUCCUGUUACCAUUCGAAAAGAUCAGAGCAGGUGGAUAUGUCAAAGACGGCCACGCCGUCUCCGUGAGCAGCGUCUCUGUAAACGUUCCCUUCAGUCUUCAUCACCCAAAGUUACACUUCUGCUUCAUCUCUUCACACGUUUCCACACAAACAGCCCGUUACAUAAACACUGGCUGAUGAAUAAUCCAGAUGAAAUGCUAAAAAACUGCAGCCCAAACAAAAGUGAUGGUGCACUUUGUAUAUUUUUGGUCAUAAGAUUUUUUCGGAUGUUUGUCAGUUACAAAUAUAUAAAUCAUUUAUGGUCACAACAACAUGAUAUUGUAAAAAAAAAAAAAAAAAGGGAGAGUUUAAAUGAAUUUGUCAUAACUUGUAUCAGUGUGUUAGGCUGUAGCAGCACAUCAUUACUGGUAGUUCUCUGUGUUGCCAGUAUGAUGUGUGCUGCUCCCAUCAGACACACACUCCUCUUCAUCACCUUUUUUUGUACCUUUUUAUACUUUUCUUGUAACCAAUGAGAACAUAUCUGUACAGUGUAUUUUUAUUUUUUUAUUUUAAUCAAAUAUUGGUCUGUAAAGACUGACGGAGAUAUGUUUGGCUAUUAACUGUUAUGCUGACUUUUAAUAAAAGCCCAAUUUUUGAGA